CGUCUCAGUUCGGAUUGCAGGCUGCAACUCGCCUGCAUGAAGUCGGAAUUGCUAGUAAUCGCGGAUCAGCAUGCCGCGGUGAAUACGUUCCCGGGCCUUGUACACACCGCCCGUCACACCAUGAGAGCCGGGAACACCCGAAGUCCGUAGUCUAACCAUUAAGGAGGACGCGGCCGAAGGUGGGUUUGGUAAUUGGGGUGAAGUCGUAACAAGGUAGC
rnacentral:rRNA from 1 species